AUGUUUUGUCUUCCUGACCCCAUACAAGUAGCUGGACGGCCCAGCCUUGCGUGUCUCAGAAAAAUCCUCCUUGAACAAAGCCCAGAAAGGAGGACGCGUCUCCCUGCGCUCCCGUUCCGAAUCAGACUACUCGGAGGAGGAAGAGGCCUCCUGAUCUCCCAAACGGUCUCCAUUCCAGAACUGGAGCCAGUGUCGGGCGGCAGCCCUUCCUGGGCGCCACUUUCGUUAGCUGGCUUCCCCGUCCCCGGGAGGCAAACUAAACACCGCACUCCCCUCAGUCAGUCCCUUCCCUACCGAGGAUGUGGGGCUCACCCCCCUAACUGGGGGAGGGCAAACUCGGGGAGACUUUAUGUCGGUUGCUGUACAGGCGAGGCGCUGGGAAGGAAGCCGAGAGGAAGCGAGGCCUCUGCAGCGGGGAACGAGGCGAGCCUGAGCCGAGCUAAAGCAGGGAUGAUGCACCCCGUCCAGAGGAAGCGCCCCACCGGCCAAGUUCUCUUUCGGUCGCCGGAAACUCCUCAGAAAUGGCUCUCUUUCUUUCUCUCCCCGCUCCCUCCCCUCCCCCUAGCCGCAGCUCGCCCUCCCUUUUUUCCUCACCUCAGGCCGCCUCCAUCCCGAAGUGCUCCGAGCAGACAAGCAUCGCUGUUGCGGCCAUUUCCUGCCGUCCCCGCCACGGAGAAAGUUACUGGAGAGCAAGAAGCCAGCCGACCUCCCCCCGCCCUCCUCCUUUUCGUUCUCUCCUUCCUCCGGCGGCAGCGGCGGCGGCUUGCCCGCCUCUUUCGCUCCCGCGCUGGUCGGGGCUGUGGCGACCGCCUGCCUUCACUUCCGGCCCUCGGCGUCCAGAGGCCGGCUGGAGGGAAGGGAAGGGAAGCGGGACGAGGCGGAGCGGAGCGGGAGGAGGAGGAAGAGGAGGCAAUGCUGGUCGUCGGUCGCCUUCCUCUGAGAGGGGCUAGUUGCUCAAGAUGCCCUGCGGGAGAAGGAGGGCUCCACUACAAGGAAGGGAGUCCUGGCUGUGGAGGAGGAGGAGACGAAGGGCUGCUGAGCGACUCCAUGCCGCCCGCUUUGGGCCCCAUCUCCCCCAGCAGCGACUGGAUUCCCCGCGCUUUUAUUUUAUUAUUUAUUUUAUUUAUACCCCGCCCAUCUGGUCUUCCGACCACUCUAGGCGGCUUCCAAUACAUAGAUAAAAACGUACAGAUAUACACAAAAAUUAUAAUAUGA
rnacentral:lncRNA from 1 species